CCGCCCGUAGCUCAAUCCGGUAGAGCAGUUGCCUUUUAAGCAAUUGGUUGAAGGUUCAAAUCCUUCCGGGCGGA
rnacentral:tRNA from 1 species